rnacentral:lncRNA from 1 species
UUGGUGACAAUGGGGGCAGCAUGAUCAAGCGGUGGCUUUCUACAAUUCUCUAAAAAGUUUCAGCCGUUGCUCCGCUUCUCUCUCUCACUGGUACGUGCUCUCACCGUCAUUGCCCAAAGGCCCAUAUCUUGGGCCCUAGAAGAUAGUCAAAGGAGUUGUUUCAUGUUCUUUGGCAUGGACUGAUAGUCUGAUAUGGAUCGUGACUCCUGAGAAGGAAACUACUAUAAGCAAAAAGAUCAAGCAGAGAAAUACUCCCUCCGUUAUAAGGUGUGUAACUUUUAGGCUAAAAUUCGAGAGAGACUUGGGUGAUUUUUCUUUUAGAACCGGUGUGGAAUUUAUUCCCCCCGUCUUCCUUGAAAAAAAAUCUGUUCGAAAAAAUAAUCUGCAUGUGAAAUAACUGGUUCUAGUAGACUUCUAAUAGAAAUAAACUUCUGGUUUGAAUACGUACUUGUGGCAUUGCUGGUUGGUAAGACCGUAAGAAUAUUUUCUCCUAUGGAUCAUGACUGUGUUCUGUUGACGUCGGGCACGGGGGGGCAACUCGCCGAGAAUGUCUCGCCAGUUCUUUCCACCAUGGAGAAUGUCCUCGUGGCCGGACAUCUAUACAUGAUCUGACUACGGCAGCAUACUACUCUUUGCUUGGGGUCUCCAAUGGGUGAUUUCAGGCACAAUCGAGGUUUAUGAUGACUCUGUGGCCCAGUUUUGGUACCGAAGCUGCCGACCGGACACAGGUUGUAGCAACAUAAACUUGUAAAUGGUCUGAUCCUGUGAUCCAUCUUCUUGACGCCACCCAUUCCGAGCGACUGCCGACUACUUGUCUCAUCCUAGAAUACCUGGCUCUUCUUCAAAAAGAGCCACGGAGAAGUUAAUUCAUUCCAGAAUAGGGCGAAAGAAAGCAAUUUGGUUGUGUCUUCUUAUGGGAGUUUGGUUAGUUGGAUGGUGCAUGUACGUUGCGUGCGUAGAGACCAGCUAGUAUAGAGAGUUGGGCAGAACAAGUGAAUAUAUAUGGGCUGUGUAUCAGCAUGCUGUCAUCGUCGCGAAGACAUUAAAUUUUGUGGGAGCCUUAUGUAAUUAGUUAUCGCAGCCACACUACCGGCUGUUUUCCUUCAAAACGAAGAGAAUAAUGUAACUUUUCCGAGUUUUUUUUGUUUGAAAAGGAAGAUAAAACCUUCUGACAUCUGCAUCUUUGGAUGUGUAUACAGUCAUUAUAUUUUUAUUUUAAUAAAAGAUACCAGGUCAAGCCAAGACAUCGUUGUACGAGUAGAGUACAUGAGUACUAGCAACGAAAUAGCCAUGACAAAAGGACAAAAAGAACACUGACGGCUAUGUUUCCGAAGCAAUACAUUGGAGAUGAGGGAGAAAAACACUCCUGCCACCGGAACCUGCGCGUGACGAUUCGUGAAAUUUUACAAAGUUCGACACCCAACAAAAAUCGUGUGCCCUAUUUUUUGGAAAGGAGCGAGUACUAACUCAUCGUAGUAAAACUGUCAAACCCAACAACCUUCUCAAGAAAUAAUUCAACAAUAACAAAGAUUUGCAUUAAUUCAUGCAUACAUCUUCUCACUUAAACACAUGAUUACUUUAAUUAGUUACCGAUCCAUAAUAAGUGUCACUAAUUUAGUACAACGAGUAAUUGAUAAAUACAAUUGGUAAAGUAUAUUUACGCACACACACGAUUUCUCUUGUACAAAUUUUAUUGGAACCAAAAGUGGUCGACCUCCACCGCUUCUUUUUGUAAAUAUCUGUUUUUACAAAAAGCACAAGAAAAUAAAAGGUUACCACAUUGAUAGAUAGAUGUCUAUCUCAUCUGACACAACAUUUUUUUUGAACCGAUUUCUUAUAACGAUACAACAUACAUGCAUGUUGUUCAAACUAGAAAAUGCAUCAGCUUCAUGAAAAACAAAGUUACGACCUUUUUUUUUUGCGAGAAGACAAACAAGUUACGACCUACGGGGUCGAUUCAGCAUGAGAAGGCUCGCUGCGACAUCGAUGGUCUUUGAUCCACAUCAGCGUUAAGACAUUCCAUAGCGAUACCUGCAAGGCUACGAAGAACCUCCAAAUCUCCUGGUACUGCAAUUUCUGUGUCAAACAACUCAGCUGCCCUAUUUUCCUCAUAAAAUUCCUGGAAUUCCGUUACUAAAAUAUUUCCGUUUUCAGAAUCACGAGUGGCCUUCUUUCGUGUAAUAAGCUCCAAGAUCACAAUCCCAAAACUGCAGACAUCACUUUUUUCAGUCAAUCGGCCUUCUCUUCUGUACACCGGAUUCAUGUAAGUCAGGUCACCAAUGACAUUCACGGUAUGUUUCUUAUCUCUUGCAAUUAACCUCGAUAUGCCAAAGUCUGAGAUCUUGGGCACAAAGCUAUCAUCUAAGAGUAUAUUUGCCGGUUUAACAUCACCAUGUAUAAUUUUUGUGUGGGCUUCUGAAUGCAUAUAAGAUAGACCACGAGCUGAUUCUGCGGCAAUUCUUACACGCACAUUCAAGCCUAGAGGCUCCCUGUUGCCCACUCUGUGAAGAAUGUUAUCGAGGCUUCCUUUGGAGACAAACUCGUAGACUAGCAUGGGUGUAUCCAG